rnacentral:sRNA from 1 species
AUGUCUGGGAUGUUCAACAGAACUCCUAAGCAAACACAUUCUUGUGUACUCCUUUUUUAAGCUCUAUAUCAAUAUCUUGUCUGAGAAGGCCAAUGUGCCAUAACCUUUAAUCAUGUUAAAACUUUCAACAACGGAUCUCUUGGCUCUCGCAUCGAUGAAGAACGCAGCGAAAUGCGAUAAGUAAUGUGAAUUGCAGAAUUCAGUGAAUCAUCGAAUCUUUGAACGCACAUUGCGCCCUUUGGUAUUCCUUAGGGCAUGCCUGUUCGAGCGUCACCAACAACUAUUUCACAUACAAUGUGGUAUUGGCUUAUGUGUUGUAGCACUUGGCUGUGCUUAUCUCACUUGGCUGAAAUGGAUAGGCCAGAUGAAGUAUACCAUUAGCACAGACUCUUAGAGUAUUCCGUGAUACUAAUCUAGUCUGUAGUGGGUUGAAAUCUGUGUCAAAUGACCCCCCGUCAGAUCAAAACUGAAGAUGUUGACCUCGGAUCAGGUAGGGAUACCCGCUGAACUUAAGCAUAUCAAUAAGCGGAG